AAGGCCCUGCUUUUGUGGGGUGCUCGAGUGGCGAACGGGUGAGUAACACGUGAGUAACCUGCCCUUGACUUUGGGAUAACUUCAGGAAACUGGGGCUAAUACCGGAUAGGAGCUCCUGCUGCAUGGUGGGGGUUGGAAAGUUUCGGCGGUUGGGGAUGGACUCGCGGCUUAUCAGCUUGUUGGUGGGGUAGUGGCUUACCAAGGCUUUGACGGGUAGCCGGCCUGAGAGGACGACCAGCCACACUGGGACUGAGACACGGCCCAGACUCCUACGGGAGGCAGCAGUGGGGAAUUUUGGACAAUGGGCGCAAGCCUGAUCCAGCCAUGCCGCGUGCGGGAAGAAGGCCUUCGGGUUGUAAACCGCUUUUGUCAGGGAAGAAACGG
rnacentral:rRNA from 1 species